rnacentral:rRNA from 1 species
UACGUAGGGUGCGAGCGUUAAUCGGAAUUACUGGGCGUAAAGCGUGCGCAGGCGGUUCGCUGUGUCCUGUGUGAAAGCCCCGGGCUUAACCUGGGAAUGGCAUGGGAAACUGGCGGGCUGGAGUGUGGCAGAGGGGGGUGGAAUUCCGCGUGUAGCAGUGAAGUGCGUAGAGAUGCGGAGGAACACCGAUGGCGAAGGCAGCCCCCUGGGCUAACACUGACGCUCAGGCACGAAAGCGUGGGGAGCAAACAGG